rnacentral:rRNA from 1 species
UGGUGGAGUGAUUUGUCUGGUUAAUUCCGUUAACGAACGAGACCUCGACCUGCUAAAUAGUUUGGUGAAUUCUACGGGAUUCAUUUACGACUUCUUAGAGGGACUAUCGGUGAUUUAGCCGAUGGAAGUUCGAGGCAAUAACA